CUGCGAGUGAAGCGGGAAAAGCUCAAAUUUAAAAUCUGGCGGUCUUUGGCCGUCCGAGUUGUAGUCUGGAGAAGCGUCUUCCGCGUUGGACCGUGUACAAGUCUCUUGGAACAGAGCGUCAUAGAGGGUGAGAAUCCCGUCUUUGACACGGACUACCAAUGCUUUGUGAUGCGCUCUCAAAGAGUCGCGUUGUUUGGGAAUGCAGCGCAAAAUGGGAGGUGAAUUCCUUCUAAAGCUAAAUAUUGGCGAGAGACCGAUAGCGAACAAGUACCGUGAGGGAAAGAUGAAAAGCACUUUGGAAAGAGAGUUAAACAGUACGUGAAAUUGCUAAAAGGGAAACGCUUGAAGUCAGUCGCGUCGUCCGGAACUCAGCUUUGCUUCGGCUUAGUGCACUUUCCGGUUGACGGGCCAGCAUCGAUUUUGACCGCUGGAAAAGGGCUGGAGGAAUGUGGCACCUUCGGGUGUGUUAUAGCCUUCAGUCGCAUACAGCGGUUGGGAUCGAGGAACGCAGCGCGCCUUAUGGCUGGGGUUCGCCCACAUUCGCGCUUAGGAUGCUGGCAUAAUGGCUUUAAACGACCCGUCUUGAAACACGGACCAAGGAGUCUAACAUGCCUG
rnacentral:rRNA from 1 species